rnacentral:rRNA from 1 species
UACGUAGGGUGCGAGCGUUAAUCGGAAUUACUGGGCGUAAAGCGUGCGCAGGCGGUUUUGUAAGCCAGAUGUGAAAUCCCCAGGCUUAACCUGGGAAUGGCAUUUGGGACUGCAAGGCUCGAGUGCGGCAGAGGAGACUGGAAUUCCUGGUGUAGCAGUGAAAUGCGUAGAUAUCAGGAGGAACACCGAUGGCGAAGGCAGGUCUCUGGGCUGACACUGACGCUCAUGCACGAAAGCGUGGGGAGCAAACAGG